UACAGAGGUCCCAAGCGUUGUUCGGAUUCAUUGGGCGUAAAGGGUGCGUAGGCGGCGCGGUAAGUCGGGUGUGAAAUCUCGGAGCUUAACUCCGAAACUGCAUUCGAUACUGCCGUGCUUGAGGACUUGAGAGGAGACUGGAAUUUACGGUGUAGCGGUGAAAUGCGUAGAUAUCAGGAGGAACACCGAUGGCGAAGGCAGGUCUCUGGGCCAUAACUGACGCUGAGAAGCGAAAGCAUGGGGAGCGAACAGG
rnacentral:rRNA from 1 species